AAAGCUUUAAGUUAAAAAAACUAUUAACCUUCAAAGUUAAAAUUACAGGUAAAUGUAAGCUUUA
rnacentral:tRNA from 1 species